rnacentral:rRNA from 1 species
ACGCUCGACACCUACGGGAGGCAGUAGUGGGGAAUAUUGCACAAUGGGGGAAACCCUGAUGCAGCGACGCCGCGUGAGCGAAGAAGUAUUUCGGUAUGUAAAGCUCUAUCAGCAGGGAAGAAACUGACGGUACCUGACUAAGAAGCACCGGCUAAAUACGUGCUAGCAGCCGCGGUAAUCUGAGCGGGCUGGCAAGGC